GAAACUUGUUUCACCUAACUUAGCGGCGGACGGGUGAGUAACACGUAGGUAACCUGCCCAUAAUACUGGGAUAACUACCGGAAACGGUAGCUAAUACCGGAUAGGUUCUUCUCUCGCAUGGGAGGGGAAAGAAAGACGGAGCAAUCUGUCACUUAUGGAUGGACCUGCGGCGCAUUAGCUAUUUGGGGAGGUAACGGCUCACCCAGGCGACAAUGCGUAGCCGACCUGAGAGGGUGAUCGGCCACACUGGGACUGAGACACGGCCCAGACUCCUACGGGGGGGAGCAGUGGGGAAUCUUCCGCAAUGUGCGAAAGCCUGACGGAGCAACGCCGCGUGAGUGAUGAAGGUUUUCGGAUCUUAAAGCUCUGUUGCCAGGGAAGAACGUCUCUUAGAGUAACUGCUAAAAGAGUGACAGUACCUGAGAAAAAAGCCCCGGCUAACUACGUGCCACCAGCCGCGGUAAUACAUAGGGGGCAAGCGUUGUCCGGAAUUAUUGUGCGUAAAGCGCGCGCAGGCGGUCAUUUAAGUUGGGGGUUUAACCCCAGGGGUCAACCCUGGGUCGCACCCAAAACUGUAUGACUUGAGUGCGUAAAAGAAGAGUG
rnacentral:rRNA from 1 species